UCCGGUUGAUCCUGCCGGACCCGACUGCUAUCAGAGUGGGACUAAGCCAUGCGAGUCAACGCAGCAAUGCGUGGCAUACGGCUCAGUAACACGUAGUCAACAUGCCCAGGGGACGUGGAUAACCUCGGGAAACUGAGGAUAAACCGCGAUAGGCCAAGGUUUCUGGAAUGGAUCAUGGCUGAAACCUAUAUGGCCCCUGGAUUGGACUGCGGCCGAUCAGGCUGUUGGUGAGGUAAUGGCCCACCAAACCUGUAACCGGUACGGGCUCUGAGAGGAGGAGCCCGGAGAUGGGCACUGAGACAAGGGCCCAGGCCCUAUGGGGCGCAGCAGGCGCGAAACCUCUGCAAUAGGCGAAAGCUUGACAGGGUUACUCUGAGUGAUGUCCGCUAAGGGCAUCUUUUGGCACUUCUAAAAAUAGUGUAGAAUAAGGGGUGGGCAAGUCUGGUGUCAGCCGCCGCGGUAAUACCAGCACCCCGAGUGGUCGGGACGAUUAUUGGGCCUAAAGCAUCCGUAGCCGGUUCUGCAAGUCUUCCGUUAAAUCCACCUGCUCAACAGAUGGGCUGCGGAGGAUACUACAGGGCUAGGAGGCGGGAGAGGCAAGCGGUACUCAGUGGGUAGGGGUAAAAUCCUCUGAUCCACUGAAGACCACCAGUGGCGAAGGCGGCUUGCCAGAACGCGCUCGACGGUGAGGGAUGAAAGCUGGGGGAGCAAACCGGAUUAGAUACCCGGGUAGUCCCAGCUGUAAACGAUGCAGACUCGGUGAUGGGUUGGCUUCGAGCCAACCCAGUGCCGCAGGGAAGCCGUUAAGUCUGCCGCCUGGGGAGUACGGUCGCAAGACUGAAACUUAAAGGAAUUGGCGGGGGAGCACCACAAGGGGUGAAGCCUGCGGUUCAAUUGGAGUCAACGCCGGAAAUCUUACCGGGAGCGACAGCAGAGUGAAGGUCAAGCUGAAGAUUUUACCAGACAAGCUGAGAGGUGGUGCAUGGCC
rnacentral:rRNA from 1 species